rnacentral:tRNA from 1 species
GAGGGUAUAGCUCAGGGGUAGAGGGCAUGCCUAGCAUGCAUGAGGUCCUGGGUUCAGUCCCCCGUACCUCCA